rnacentral:ncRNA from 1 species
AAAUAAACUUUGAUGGAGAGAGUAAGUAUAGAAGUUAUCUUACAGGGAAAAGAGAUUUUAAAUUGAGAGUCUCUUUAGAUAGAAUAUACUGAAGUUCACUCUGGAGUUCUGAUGGUGAAAGUAUUUUUAGUAAUGUUUUUAGAAAUAUUCUGUAGCUUUCAGCGGUUAAAACCGAUACAUUUUUAAGAGGACAUUUUUGUCAAUUAGGGUGGUACCGCGGAUACUUCGUCCCUUUA